rnacentral:misc_RNA from 1 species
AUAAAUUUGAUAUCUGUAAUAAGUUCGAUUAGCAAGCAAACCAUGCCAAGUUUCCAAAGGCAACUGCUUUAACUCGCCGGGUUGUGCUGGCUCUGCCGUCAAAGUAAAAGCAACUAGUGCGGUACUAACUUGCAAAUUUCUUCUUCCUAAAUGUGAACUUUCACAGGCAUUUUUGGACAAGACACGUCCAGUAAUUUGCUUUGCUGGAUUUGUUUUUU